rnacentral:rRNA from 1 species
GAUGAACGCUGGCGGCGUGCUUAACACAUGCAAGUCGAACGGUGAAGCUCCAGCUUGCUGGUGUGGAUCAGUGGCGAACGGGUGAGUAACACGUGAGCAACGUGCCCCUGACUCUGGUAUAACAGCCGGAAACGGCUGCUAAUACCGGAUAUGCACCAUCCACGCAUGUUCUGUGGUGGGUAAGAUUAUUCGGGUGGGGAUGGGGUGGCGGCCAAGCAGCUUGUUGGUGAGGUAGUGGCUCACCAAGGCGUCGACGGGUCGGCGGCCUGGGAGGGUGACCGGCCACAAGGGGCCUGAGGCAGGGCCCAGACUCCUACGGGAGGCAGCGGUGGGAAAUAUUGCCCAGUGGGCGAAAGCCUGAUGAGGAAACGCCGCGUGAGGGAUGACGGCCUUCGGGUUGAAAACCUCUUUUAGCAGGGAAGAAGCGGGAGUGACGGUACCUGCAGAAAAAGCGCCGGCUAACUACGUG